GAAGGGCGUCGCACGACGUGUCGUCACAUUUUGGGUCGGGAGCGGCACGGCAGUGGACGGGAGACGACGAUGGCCGCCCUCAACGCCUCCGCCUGCGCCGCCUUCCGCUCCGUCGUACGCUCGGCGGCGGAUUCUCCGGUCGAUGACCCGUCCCCCUCCCUCCCCACCCGCGUCGUCCUCCCCAAGAAGAAGCCGCUCAAGUGGUCCACCGGCGUCGCCCCCGGCGAGUACGGCGGCCCUCCGACCACCACCAAGCUCCGGAAGUACUGGGGCGGCGGGGACGAGGAUCCCGUGACCGCCACUGAUGACUUCAUCUGGAACAAGGAGUUCGUCGGCCGCAUGCAGCAGUUACUCGACGAAGACCAGGCGACCCCCAAUCCUGUUCCUUCGCUGCAGAAGGAGCCGGAUUCAGGUUUCCUUAGCCUCAAUCGAGCUCUGAGUCUCGACAGCAUAGAGAUUGACUUGAGCGAAGAGCUGAAGCCGCCACCGAAGCCGGUGUUGGAACAGCAGGUAGAGGCCGCGAGGAAUGGCCUUUCGGCAACCGAAGGCACGAAUGAUACUGCAUCACCGAGGUGGAGGUUGGUCCCUACUCGGAGGGAGCAAGCAAAGUGGGAUAGAGCGAGUAAGGCGGCCACCGGUGGUAGUGAUGUUAUUUUACGAGAAUCAAAGAGGGCUCGUGGGGAUCCCAAGGUCUUGGCAGCCCAAUCACAAGAGCAGUAUAUUGAGUUGAAACGGAAGCUACAAAUUCUCACUGUCAGUAUUGGUGGCAUCGGAGUUGUCUCUGCAUACUUUUCCUACUCUCCUGAAAUUGCAGCCAGCUUUGGUGCAGGGUUGCUUGGUUCUUUGGCGUAUAUACGCAUGCUAGGCAAUACCAUUGAUUCAAUGGCAAAUGGCGCAAAAGGGUUUGUCAAGGGAGCUGCUGGACAACCAAGGCUGCUGGUUCCGGUUGCACUAGUAAUGAUGUAUAAUAGGUGGAAUGAGAUAUUAGUACCAGAUUAUGGCUUCAUGCACUUGGAGUUGAUACCGAUGCUCGUUGGGUUUUUCACCUACAAAGUUGCUACAUUCGUCCAAGCUAUUCAGGAUGCGCUGGAUGUAGUUGAGAGAAGGAGCUAAUCGUGAUGAUUCCCUGGGUUGCAGACGACACUCGACACUAUAUGUUUUGAGCAUGACACUGGAACCUGUUAGCAGUUUGAUAUCUUCUCUGCUUUGGCUUCCCCCAGAAUCAUGAAGAGACUAUUCCCAUUGCUUGACUACAUAGGUAUGCUAAAAACAAGUCUUGUUGACCGAGCUAAGCAGAGCACACCUCAAAUCCUAUGAGAAAAAUUUGCAGGCUGUGGGGUGAUGGUGUCCCUCCACAAACCCUAAUAAUUAUCCUCAUCAUAUAGGACAAUCUUCCUUUACGACUUUUUGGUCCAAGGAAGAACCAAGUCAUUUUGGUGAAUCCCAAUGCAUCUUUCCCAGCUAACCAGGCAUGGAAAGCAAUCCCUUAACCAAGGCUUCAUCAGUAUCAGAUAUUGAAUAUUUUUAGUUGUUUUCUUUAUAUCAGCAUACAUGCAUAUAGAUUUCAUAUUUAUUUUUUUGUAGAUGUAGAAAGGAGCACAAUUUAACCAAAAGUGAAUUGGCAUGUGAAUAUAUCUCAUGUGUUUCUAAUAUCUCAUUUAUAAGAAAUUGAGAGUCUGAUGAUAUCA